AUCGCUUCUCGGCCUUUUGGCUAAGAUCAAAGUGUAGUAUCUGUACUGGUGGUAGGACCUCUU
rfam:Bombyx mori DNA, contig: Bm_scaf23_contig15796, strain: p50T/Dazao, build 2, whole genome shotgun sequence.